GAAACUAACAAGGAUUCCCCUAGUAACGGCGAGUGAAGCGGGAAGAGCUCAAAUUUGAAAUCUAGUAGCCUUCGGCUGCUCGAGUUGUAAUCUAGAGAAGUGUUUUCCGUGCCGGCCCAUGUACAAGUCCCUUGGAACAGGGCGUCAUAGAGGGUGAGAAUCCCGUCCUUGACAUGGACCCCCGGUGCUCUGUGAUACACUUUCAACGAGUCGAGUUGUUUGGGAAUGCAGCUCAAAAUGGGUGGUGAAUUCCAUCUAAAGCUAAAUAUUGGCGAGAGACCGAUAGCGAACAAGUACCGUGAGGGAAAGAUGAAAAGCACUUUGGAAAGAGAGUUAAACAGUACGUGAAAUUGUUGAAAGGGAAACGAUUGAAGUCAGUCAUGCUCUUUGGUAUUUAUAUCAUUGAGUGGGGUCAACAUCAGUUUUGAGCGAUGGAUAAAGGCACUAGGAAGGUAGCACUCUCGGGUGAACUUAUAGCCUAGCGUCAUAUACAUUGUUUGGGACUGAGGAACGCAGCAUGCCUUUAUGGCCGGGAUUCGUCCACGUACAUGCUUAGGAUGUUGACAUAAUGGCUUUAAA
rnacentral:rRNA from 1 species